rnacentral:rRNA from 1 species
GACGAACGCUGGCGGCGUGCCUAAUACAUGCAAGUCGAGCGGACAGAAGGGAGCUUGCUCCCGGAAGUUAGCGGCGGACGGGUGAGUAACACGUGGGAAACCUACCCUGUAGAUCGGGAUAACAUCGAGAAAUCGGUGCUAAUACCGGAUAAUCAUUUGAAGUGCAUGCUUAGAAUGUAAAAGAUGGCUCCGGCUAUCACUACGGGAUGGGCCCGCGGCGCAUUAGCUAGUUGGUAAGGUAAUGGCUUACCAAGGCAACGAUGCGUAGCCGACCUGAGAGGGUGAUCGGCCACACUGGGACUGAGACACGGCCCAGACUCCUACGGGAAGCAGCAGUAGGGAAUCUUCCGCAAUGGACGAAAGUCUGAUGGAGCAACGCCGCGUGAGUGAUGAAGGUUUUCGGAUCGUAAAGCUCUGUUGUUAGGGAAGAACAAGUGCCGUUUGAAUAAGGCGGCACCUUGACGGUACCUAACCAGAAAGCCACGGCUAACUACGUGCCAGCCGCCGCAGUAAAAC